GGGGGGAUAUUGCGCAAUGGGGGAAACCCUGACGCAGCAACGCCGCGUGAGUGAUGAAGGCCUUCGGGUUGUAAAGCUCUGUCUUUGGGGACGAUAAUGACGGUACCCAGGGAGGAAGCCACGGCUAACUACGUGCCAGCAGCCGCGGUAAUACGUAGGUGGCAAGCGUUGUCCGGAUUUACUGGGCGUAAAGAGUAUGUAGGCGGAUAUUUAAGUCAGAUGUGAAAUUCCCGGGCUUAACCUGGGCGCUGCAUUUGAAACUGGGUAUCUAGAGUGCGGGAGAGGAAAGUGGAAUUCCUAGUGUAGCGGUGAAAUGCGUAGAGAUUAGGAAGAACACCAGUGGCGAAGGCGACUUUCUGGACCGUAGCUGACGCUGAGAUACGAAAGCGUGGGGAGCAAACAGGAUUAGAUNCCCUGGUAGUCCACGCCGUAAACGAUGAAUACUAGGUGUCGGGGGGUACCACCCUCGGUGCCGCAGCAAACGCAAUAAGUAUUCCGCCUGGGGAGUACGGNCGNNAGA
rnacentral:rRNA from 1 species